UACGGAGGGUGCAAGCGUUAUCCGGAUUCACUGGGUUUAAAGGGUGCGUAGGUGGGUUGGUAAGUCAGUGGUGAAAUCUCCAGGCUUAACUUGGAAACUGCCAUUGAUACUAUCAAUCUUGAAUACCGUGGAGGUCAGCGGAAUAUGUCAUGUAGCGGUGAAAUGCGUAGAUAUCUGGAGGAAUACCGGUGGCGAAGGCGGCAUCCUGGACCGACAUUGACGCUGAGGAGCGAAAGCUAGGGGAGCAAACGGG
rnacentral:rRNA from 1 species